CUCGUUGAGACAAUGCUCCUCAAGUUGUUGUUAUUAUUCAUUAUGUCAUUAGAAUUUCUUAGCAUAAAGCGGCAUAAAGUAUUUUUGACCAGUGAGGUGCAAACUGUUCAUACAAAUCUAGUUGAUUCAGAUGUAAUACAGGAGGCUGAAUUUCAUACAUUCUGUCAAAUAUAAGUGUUGCGGCAAAACGACAACCGAAGACCCCUCACCCAAUGUGAGCCAAAGUAUUUGAGCCAAAAAUGUUACCCCUCAUUGUAGUAGAUUGAUAUUUACUAAUUGGAAGAACCAUUUUGAAAACUAUAUCGAUUGAAAGCUGAGUUAUAAAUCGCUUAUAAAUUAAAUCCCUCAUAAAUAUAUUAGGCUGUCAAAAAAGUCCUGCGGUAUUUCCGCGAGGUGUCAUUGUAAGCGCGUAGUUCAAGUUGUAUUCAUUGUAUCGAGUCAUACUAUAGCUUGUUGGAAAGGUAUUUUUACGCCCUAUAAUAUAGUCCUUGACAGUGUUUUGUUUGGUUAAGUCGUUCGUGAGUUAUACUGUCGCAAAUAUGGAGCAAAAUAAAGAGAAUGUCCGACAUAUUAAUAUAAUAUAUUGUUGGCCACUAGUAAGGAGACUAAAUUCUUCAAGCUGACUCAAAAUCAAAAAAGGAGUUUGCUGAGAGAACUUUCCGAAAGGUGUCGCCAACAAUAAGUAUAUACCGGAAAUUUUCAAUCUUCCCGCUGAACAUUUUCCAAAUCUCUUAUUUUUAAGUUGGUACUACUGUCAGUGAUCUUAAUGCCAAUUUUAAACGCGGUCUGUCAUUUAGUUUGUUUACAGCGUCUUUAGGAACAAGUUAACUUUUUUUGUUUAGCGAUUUUUCUUAAAAAAAAAUCAUCGCAAUCAGGUUGCUGAAAACAUGCUUGAACGAUCAAGCUCUGAUCCCACGUUCAUUCAACGCAUCGAAUCCGAAAAAACAACGUCGAAGUCGUUCAAAAGAGAAGAUAAUGUUGACUGUUUUCUUCGAUAUUCGUGGUAUUACCCGACCGGAAUUCCUUCCGGAGAAUCAAACGGUCAAUAAAGAGUAUUACUUUGGGGCAAGUGAAAAUUCAUUAUAAUCGGCUAGAUUUGAAAAAACAACAGAAACUUCGUUAUGGUUCAAUUCUUGGUUUUAUUCAUUCAAAAAUAAUUUCCAAAAAAAUGUUAGAGUAUUUUUUUUGGCUAACGUGUCUGGUUUUUAUUCCUGAAACAUUUGGUCAGCCUAGCCUCAGGAAUAUGGAAGCUGGAGCGCAUGUUGUGUAUCGUGACCGGGAAAAAUUCGCAAAACUCCGCGGAAAACAUCUGCAACAGAAACAGUCGCUCAGAAAAGGUGUAAUGUCACAAUUAAUUCUGGGGUCAAUGCGCAAUGGUCCAGGAGAUGCAUUUACGUGAAAAAUUAGCAUUUAGAGCUCGACAGUUAUUCUCUAGACAAAAACUGUCUUAGACAAAGUUGUUACUCAUGAUAGAGCGCUCGUUUUUAUGUUGUCAAAAAUAGGGUGACCAAAAUUGUCGAUGAAAUAAAAAAUCUUUCUUAUCUUUAUAGAUAGAGAUAAACACAGUUCGACAAUGUUGUAGCUCCAAUUAUUUGAGAUAUCUUUGUAGAAUAAAGUUUUUCUCUAUCUCUUGAAAUAUCCGAU